GAGACCUGUACCUACAAUUGCCAACAACACCAUCUGUGGAUUGGGUACAUUGUAGGGACUGCCUUGGAAACGAGGAGGAAGGUGCAGGCAACGGUAGGUCUGUAUGCCCCGAAUCCUCUGGGCUACACGCGCGCAACAAUGGUAAGGACAAAGGGAUGCAACUCCGAAAGGGGAAGCUAAUCCUCCAAACCUUAUCUUAGUCCAGAUUGAGGAUUGUAACUCAUCCUCAUGACGCUGGAAUCCCUAGUAAUCAGAUGUUAUAAUCAUCUGGUGAAUAC
rnacentral:rRNA from 1 species